rnacentral:tRNA from 1 species
AAGACACUAGUAAAACCAUAAUACUGCCUUGUCAAGACAGAGUCGUGGGUUAAAUCCCCACGUGUCUUA